CCUACGGGCGGCAGCAGUGAGGAAUAUUGGUCAAUGGCCGGAAGGCUGAACCAGCCAAGUCGCGUGAGGGAUGACGGUCCUAUGGGUUGUAAACCGCUUUUGUCAGGGAGCAACGGGCCCUACGUGUAGGGUUUUGCGAGUACCUGAAGAAAAAGCAUCGGCUAAUUCCGUGCCAGCAGCCGCGGUAAUACGGAGGAUGCGAGGGUUAUCCGGAUUUAUUGGGUUUAAAGGGAGCGUAGGCGGAAUGUCAAGUCAGCGGUAAAAGUUCGGGGCUCAACCCGGUCGUGCCGUUGAAACUGGCGUUCUUGAGUGAGCGAGAAGUAGGCGGAAUGCGUGGUGUAGCGGUGAAAUGCAUAGAGAUCACGAAGAACCCCGAUUGCGAAGGCAGCUUGCCGGCGCGGAACUGACGCUGAUGCACGAAAGCGUGGGUAUCGAACAGGAUUAGAUACCCCUGUAGUC
rnacentral:rRNA from 1 species